GUUGCCCAUGACUUGAUUUCUGAAGAUGAAUCCUUACAUGUUAUAAGGAGAAUCACCGCAAUUAGAAGGAAAGACAAAAGCAAAUCAAGUAAUGGGAAAGUUUGAAAGCUCUCAAGGAUUUGGUUAAAUUUUCUAUAUGAUUUUGUUUCGUGCCUAUUGUCCAUUAAUUAAUAUGUUAAUGGAAGCAUUCAUUGACGAUCCUUAUACUCAGGCUAUUACUAUAAAUCUUCAGAACCCAGAUCUUUUUCUGAUCGUUCUCAAGAUAAUAUCACCCUUCACCUGAUUUUUGUUUUAGUGAUUUUGGGGAUUUUCUUGGUGAUUUUUUACUGGGAUUUAUGUCGUUGGUGAGAGUACAUGCAAUAUGUUGUAUUGAAUUGGUGAAUAUAUAUUAGUUCUUGAAGUGUAUGAUGAAUUGUGUAAAUUAGUUCUGGGUUUUGUCAGAUGUGUUUAUUGUAUGAGCUGUGAUGGGUUUUCAAUGAGUUUGACUUGGCAAACUUUUGAGGAUAUAUACAAUUCAUGACUGAGAUUAGGUUCUGACAAAUAGGCAUUCUGUGUACAGAUUGAUACAGGAACUGAUAUACUGUAGGUUGAUUGCAAUUCAGGUUGCAGGAACUUAGCAAAGGUAUGCACAAGCUCACCCUGAAGAUUUUACACUAACUCAACUUAUUUUGCUUUAUUACAUGUCGUUGAAAAAUUGUUUAGGUUAGUUAAGCUUUCGCACCAGGAAUAGUCAGAGAUGUCAAUAUUGGAUAAAUUUUAUUUCAGUCUCAAGAAACCGACAUCAAUUGAAAUUGGUGGGAGUUGUUUAAUAUAAGUUGUAGCAAAGCCGUCUGUUUAUAAUGAUCUUUGUUGGUAAAUACCAUGCUGGAAAGUGCACCAAGAUAUGUUAAACCCGCUGAUGGAGGUGCUACUGAUGAGCAUAUGGAUCCACCGGCAGCAGCAGGUUGUAGAUGAUUGAACUUGCAGGCGAACCCAUAUUUACAAACCCCGAUUCGUGUACGCAAACAAGAAUUCUCAACCAAGGACAACCGGAGGCUAAAUUAGAGCUGAGGUCGCAGGAAUCAUUUUAAAUACAUGCUCUGGCCAAAUUUCAAGGUUGCGGCUCAGUGCGACACUAAGAUGAGAUAUUUGAAUCUGCCAACAUCAAUGAAGAUCUAUGAUCUAAAAUUGUUGUAGUACAACGGGUAACACAACUGAAGUGUUUACUAUUGGAAUUUUGGUUUGGUUAAUAAGCAUUUUUAAUUAAUUUUAAAAUCCACAAGAAGAUGUUAUUUGGUUUUUUAGGCUCUAGCUAUUACUCUUUUGGGCGACUAUGUUUUGUUUGUAAAAGCAGAAAACAACAAUUCUACAAUGCAAGGGGUUGAAAUAAAUAAAGAUGCAAUUUUUGUCUCUUUGCCAACAGUGGAAGAAGAAACAUCUCUAUUGCUAAGUUGAGUUUUCGUAUUUCCAUGCUUUAAUUUUAACAAUAUUUAUUGGAGAUUUUUUUUUAUUUUCUUUGCUUCAGCAGCUGACUAAGCUUCUGCUAGAAGAUACAUGUGAUUAAGUAGAAGAUCGGAGUUGUUCCAAUGAGGUAAAGAAGGCCUUUGAAUUCAGGUCAGAACACAUGAAACAAAUUAGACAACACCCUGCCUAAAGGUGAAAGUUUGAAAAUGGGGUUUAGUUUGUUAGGAUGAGCACCUGAGUUCAGUUGAGGCUCUGCAUCUAGCCUCUUACACUCCUAAAUUGUUAUUCACAUCCAUAUCCUUUCAAAUCAUUGAUAUCAUAUUUGUUUUUGAGAUGCAUAACAUCAUUUAAAUGAAUUAGACAUGUCAGAGUUGGUUUUUGAAAUGCUCAAGUCCUACUUUGUAUAUACAUAAGUUUAUAGUCAUCUCAAGCAGAUAUUAAGAGACGAGAUAGAUUAUGUUUGGAAAUAAUUUCUCUCUUGGUAUCUUAGUUCAGCUGGUAGAGCACAUGGCAUUCAACCAUGUAGUUGUGGGUUCGACUCCCACAGAUGGCAUAUACUCAGGCAAACUCCACGCAUCUAAACUUACACUUUGGGUACCCUACAUUACUGUAAGUGUUUGCUGGCUCAAGCAAAUCUGUAAGCAUUGAUCUGAACUUACGAAUAACAUAAGGUACAUAUAUAAAUAAAUAAAUAUGAAUAGUGGGUCAAAUUAUGAAUACCCAUGAGUCAUCUGAGUCACGAGAGUAAAUGUAGCAGAGUUUUCUCAAUUGUCGAUUGCUGAGAUCUGCUGAUGCGACGAGAUAAUCGAUUGCGUUUGUCUUCUACUCUACUGGCUAUCUGAUGUGAUUUUUUUGUUUUUCUUGGCAGGUGCUCACAUUCAUCGGUUUACUUUCCCUGACUUGGGAGUUUACAACUCCUUUAAUGUUUUAUUUUUACCUUGAGUUAGCUUCGUUGUAAUUGCAUGUUAAUUGGUUCUAUAUUUGCACUUUCGGUUCAUAAGAAGGUAAACGAAAACUCCAGCAAAGAAUAAUUUAAGGAAAGAGAUGCAACCAUUUGCCCGGGGACUAAUGCGUGGAAACGAAAUCAGCCUAGAUCAUGGGCUAAUGCUAGACCCACGUCAAUCCAAUUGUCAUUAAGCUCAUCGCCGGAACAAUAAAGUCCAUGCCUGCUAUCUUAUGAUGGAUUAUGGAUGUGUAUGAAACUGCCAUUUGUUCGUGAAGAUCUAGAGAUGGUUUGCGGUAACAUUUCGAACAGUAGUCACAUCCACCAUUGUUGUAAUUAUGGUCUAUAAUUCUGGAUUUAUAAGCAAACACGGGAAGUUUAAAUUAGAUAUCAAUUUAAAAACA